ACAGGGAUUGCCCUAGUAACGGCGAGUGAAGCGGCAACAGCUCAAAUUUGAAAUCUGGCGUCUUCGGCGUCCGAGUUGUAAUUUGCAGAGGGCGCUUUGGCAUUGGCAGCGGUCCAAGUUCCUUGGAACAGGACGUCACAGAGGGUGAGAAUCCCGUACGUGGUCGCUAGCCUUUACCGUGUAAAGCCCCUUCGACGAGUCGAGUUGUUUGGGAAUGCAGCUCUAAAUGGGAGGUAAAUUUCUUCUAAAGCUAAAUACUGGCCAGAGACCGAUAGCGCACAAGUAGAGUGAUCGAAAGAUGAAAAGCACUUUGGAAAGAGAGUUAAAAAGCACGUGAAAUUGUUGAAAGGGAAGCGCUUGCAGCCAGACUUGCCUGUAGUUGCUCAUCCGGGUUUCUACCCGGUGCACUCUUCUAUAGGCAGGCCAGCAUCAGUUUGGGCGGUUGGAUAAAGGUCUCUGUCAUGUACCUCCUCUCGGGGAGAACUUAUAGGGGAGACGACAUGCAACCAGCCUGGACUGAGGUCCGCGCAUCUGCUAGGAUGCUGGCGUAAUGGCUGUAAGCGGCCCGUCUUGAAACACGGACCAAGGAGUCUAACAUCUAUGCGAGUGUUUGGGUGUCAAGCCCGAGCGCGUAAUGAAAGUGAACGGAGGUGGGAACCUUUCGGGGUGCACCAUCGACCGAUCCUGAUGUCUUCGGAUGGAUUUGAGUAAGAGCAUAGCUGUUGGGACCCGAAAGAUGGUGAACUAUGCUUGAAUAGGGUGAAGCCAGAGGAAACUCUGGUGGAGGCUCGCAGCGGUUCUGACGUGCAAAUCGAUCGUCAAAUUUGGGCAUAGGGGCGAAAGACUAAUCGAACUAUCUAGUAGCUGGUUCCUGCCGAAGUUUCCCUCAGGAUAGCAGUAACGUUUUCAGUUUUAUGAGGUAAAGCGAAUGAUUAGAGGCCUGGGGGUUGAAACAACCUU
rnacentral:rRNA from 1 species